rnacentral:tRNA from 1 species
GCGAGGGUGGCGGAAUUGGCAGACGCGCUAGACUUAGGAUCUAGUGUCUACGACGUGAGGGUUCAAGUCCCUCCCUUCGCA